rnacentral:rRNA from 1 species
GUAUGGCUCAGGAUGAACGCUAGCGACAGGCUUAACACAUGCAAGUCGAGGGGCAGCACAGGGUAGCAAUACUUGGGUGGCGACCGGCGCACGGGUGAGUAACGCGUAUGCAACUUACCUAUCAGAGGGGGAUAGCCCGGCGAAAGUCGGAUUAAUACCCCAUGAAACAGGGGUCCCGCAUGGGAAUAUUUGUUAAAGAUUCAUCGCUGAUAGAUAGGCAUGCGUUCCAUUAGGCAGUUGGG